rnacentral:rRNA from 1 species
CGGGGGGCAGCAGUGGGGAAUUUUGGACAAUGGGGGCAACCCUGAUCCAGCCAUUCCGCGUGAGUGAAGAAGGCCUUCGGGUUGUAAAGCUCUUUCGCGAGGGAAGAAAACUUGUGAUCGAAUAAAUCAUGAGGUUGACGGUACCUUGAUAAGAAGCACCGGCUAACUACGUGCCAGCAGCCGCGGUAAUACGUAGGGUGCGAGCGUUAAUCGGAAUUACUGGGCGUAAAGCGUGCGCAGGCGGUUUUGUAAGUCGGAUGUGAAAUCCCCGGGCUCAACCUGGGAACUGCGUUCGAAACUGCAAGGCUAGAGUGUGUCAGAGGGGGGUAGAAUUCCACGUGUAGCAGUGAAAUGCGUAGAGAUGUGGAGGAAUACCAAUGGCGAAGGCAGCCCCCUGGGAUAACACUGACGCUCAUGCACGAAAGCGUGGGGAGCAAACAGGAUUAGAUACCCGAGU